rnacentral:tRNA from 1 species
GCCCAGGUGGCGGAACUGGUAGACGCGUUGGACUUAAAAUCCAAUGGCCAUACAAUGGCUGUGCGGGUUCAAGUCCCGCCCUGGGUA